UGAACUUUAGAGUCACAUGAUGAAGCCAUACGUUUGCUAAACAUGCAACGUGUAUGGUUUGAAUGACUUAAGCCCAGUUCCUGUUUCCUUUGCAGAACUGUGUGUUUUUGUAGUCAGCCAGCGCCUGGAGUUUUCACCGUUAUUUACAGCAGCUGAAGGAGUGAUUGUAAUACAUACACGCUGCUUUCUGCAUAAAUAUAAAGGGCUAUAUCCUCCGAACAAUAAUUACAUUUCGUCUGACUUUACACAGAGAAAAUCUCAGCCAGUUGUAUCUGUGGAACACUUUCUUGAAAAGUUCCAAACUUGGUUACACGCAGACGAGCAGGGUACAGCAGGAGGGAUGGCUUCUCACAACAUGACAUGGCUCAGCUACCCGAGCAAGAACUUUGCUUCCACCUCCCCAGAAGAAAUCGAAGCGUUCAUAGAAUCUCAGAACAUCAUUUCAAGACUCAUGCACUGCUACAUCGCCUUUUUUGUGCCCACGGGAUUAAUAUCUGGCAUAUGCAUUUUGAUCAUUUUCAUAAAGAAUUAUUUACAACGCAAAAGCAAGGAACAAUUAGACUUACUGCUUCUGCACUUCACCAUCAGCAACAUCAUAAUGAUUUUUUUGUCAUUUACGGUCAUUCCUAGACCUGACUACUUAAAAGCAACCCACCUUGCAUGUAGCGUUCUGUCAUUUUUUUUCAACUUCAGUUAUUUCAAUUCUCAGUAUGUUCUGAUUUUCAUGCUUCUCAUACUAUUACUCAAGAGAUUUCUGCCAAGGACUGCUCUCAGCAAAGCAACCCAAAAUCCCAUAUCGUGUGUAGCAUUCGUACUUAUAUACGCCUUCUGUUUGUCACUGACCGAAGCAGUACUGGUUGGCACGGAUAACUACCACGUGGAAACAGAGUGCCAGUCUGACCCAUUAUUUGCAUGGCCUGAGUACGAGAUCAUUAAAUUCACCUUUGGAUUUGGAAUCCCGGCAUUUCUUCAGAUACUCUCUUUUACCAUCCUUUUUGCUAAAAAAGCACCUGCUGAAGCUCAAGACUUACGGCAGUACAUUCGUACUUAUGCCGCUGUGUUCAUUAUUAGCAUAAUGAUACUUAUAUGCCAUCUAUUUUAUAACGUUAUGAUUCUCUUCAGGACAACGUUAAAAUUACAGAAGAGCACUGGAACUCCAAAAAAUGAGCUCAUGAUGAAUAUUGCAGAAAUAGUAUUGUUCUCUGAGAACUGUGCUAAUUUGGUAUUUAUACUUUGUUUUCAUAAACCAUGCAAGGACAGAAUACUUGAAGUCAUACACAACUGCCAAAGGAGAAACACCACCCACAAUCACCUUGAAAUACCAGUAGUGUCUACAACCCCUGAAAGAACACCUCAGUAAUACCUGCUGUUCUAAGAACUGUCAAUCUACUUUUUUUCCUUCUUCUUCAUGAAGGACAACUGGUCCUUCUUUAGACCCCAAACUUGGACUAUCUUAUAGCUAGCAGCAGCAGAGGAAAAAUAUCUUUAGCCUAGUAUUUGCAGUUAUCUCUGAGAAGGCAUGUAGGGAUAGCUAUGGGGUUUUUUUGUCCAUAUAAAUGUUUUUUAAUCUCCUACAUUCUGCGAGUGUUACUUCAAAGGUGAGCAGAAGGAAAAGUACUGUUGCCAUACAAGUCUGCUUUUGUAAUAGCACUGAUGCCUUGAUAAAGAUGCAACCAAAAACAUAACCAAAGGCAACUUUGAACAAAGGUAAAAAUCUGCAGCCAAAGCAUUUUCUCAGGUGUGCUUCCUCCUUGGACUGGGAUUUCUUGCCCUACAAACUACUCUUAUUUUUUAACACCAGUUAAUUCCAGUAGCAACACCAGGGAAGUAUGGUUUGAGUCCAUUAUAAUCCUGAAAUAGUUUGCGAUACUGUAAAUAUCACUGCUUGCUUGGGUUAUAUACACAUGCAUACACAAGAUUGAGCAUUCCUUCCUUUUUCCAUUUUCCUCUUCCGUGUUUGUUGGAACCCUGAAGGUUUUUAUCUGAAUUAUUGUGCCAAAAAAACCCACACUCAAAUUAAUGGAAACGUUGGUCCAUAAAGAAGAGCUUCGGGUCUUUUCUGAGGCACUGAACUGGAAAGAUCGACAGGAUGGCUAAUUAAAACUUUGUGCAAGAAUGAAAGCUUUUUGUUAAAGUACACUCAGCUUCAACUUUGCAUAAAGACUUUAAGCAAUUAUUGAUUUAAGCCAUUCUUGAUGAGUUCAUUCAGAAGUGUAAGGUCGCAUGCCUUGAAGAGUCACAUUCAAUAAUAUCCUAACUAAAAAAUGAGAAAAGCCAGGCCCAGAACAGUAGAACUGCUUUUAAAAAGGCAAACAAAAGCAGAACCCCAGAUCUAGACACAAAUCAAGGCUCUGAUGGAGACAAGAUAGGAACAUUAUACAUUUACAUUAGAAUUUACAGGUCAAUGGUGCAAAGUGGUGAAAAAAAAUCCAAAUCUGAGAAUAAAACAGCUGCUGCAGUUUUGGUGUUCAGAUGUAGCCCUCCAGAAGCAGUUGCCAGUGUGGGCUGAGACUUAGGUGCAAAGUUUUAAAUGCUGGCUUUGAGCACGUUGUUUGUGAUCCAAAUUGGCCAGGGGCCAUCUUAGACACUUGGCUUCAGUUUCAGCUUUUCUUUUCAUGGAGGAGGAGAGAACAUAAAUGACAGGGAAGGCACAAAAUUGUGCUAGAUCUUGGAUACAGAUGUAGACUUGGAUUGCAUGUUAAAAAAAAAAAAGCACAGUGAUGUGAUGAGCAAGGCUCGAGUGACCUGAAGGUGGUUUUUUGGUGAUUUUUUUUCCUAAAGAAAAAAAACACUGAUGUUUAAAAUGCAUACCUUUGUAUAGCAUUCAAGAGGACAAGAAUAUACUUGAUUAAGCAUGUCACCUGGAUGCUAAAGGAAGUGAGAGAUUUUAUAGCAAUUGUGUGCUUUGGAAAGCCUUCUUGAUGGGGUCCAGGUUUGUGUGCAGUCAGUACGAAUUGGCAUGGGCUGCCUGAGAUACACGUCAGUGGGCACUGGUCUACCAAGAGGAACACCUGCAAAACAGCCAGGUGGGUAAAUGGAAGACUAAAGGACAUUUACCCCAUAAUGAUAUGGUGUAUAUAUGGAUCUAGUUUUAGAUAUUUGAGUCCAGAAAUUUAUGGAUGGUGACUAUCACGUGAAAACAGAGGGCAAUAGUGUAACUAUGACCAUAAGGACCAAUGUUUCUGCAAGAUGUACAAAUUAACUGGUGAAAUGUCUGCAUUGCAUUGUCAGUCUGUUUUCCCGUUCAAUUUUGUUCUGCUGCCAGCACGAACAGAUGGAUAACUAAGGAACGCUCCGUAUUAGACCAUUAUUAGAACCUGGUUAGAAAGGAAAUGCGUAGAUAAGAACCAUCUCUUCAAAUACAAGAGUCAACUUCAUAGCUGUGCAAGGACUUCUCAGCUGGCAUCAGGUUUCAUUUCACACCUGAGAAGAGGGAGAUAAAAGAACAUGGACCAAACACCAGCCCUGCAGAAAGAAGUUUGAAGAGAGGAGUUGUUAGAGCAGCACGUCAGCAAAGCAAGCCCACAGACUGAGUGACAGAGCAUGUCAAAAGAUGUAAGCUGAUGGAAAAUAUCAGUUUCAUGGCUAAGUAGGCUAUUUUCUAGCAUGUGAAUUAUGCACAAAGGAAUCUACUUUAUUUACUGCUUCCAUAUAUUUUAUAUUUGAGGACGAAAGAAUAAAUAUUGUAUUGUUUCCAAGUCCUGAGUUACUGUUAAAGGUGCCUGAAAGUGAAGUUGGAAAAUACGUAGGACCUCGUUAGAUAACACUGGCUGGGACCUGGGAACUGGUCUAACGGUGAGCAAAUCCCAACAAUGCACCUGUAGGAGCCUGAAGGUUCAGCACAGGUAGCACGCGUGAUGAAACUCCAGUAUGGUAUAGAUCUAAACCAGAACCAUACCCCAGGUCUUGGAGAACUAGAAGCUGUAGGGACCUACUGUCAGAUCUAAGGCUUGGGAAAGAUGAUGUCUUGUCAAGAAUGAACUACGCUGUAAAUCUGUGAGUGUUCCUGGGUGUAGCUUCUGGCUGUUAUCUGUGUAACAUGAACCAAUGCUCUCUGGUCUCUUUCCUAUCAAUAGCUCCUGUCAUGGAGACAAACAGAGUCCUUUCUGGAUGGCAGGUUAUAUUGUCAUAAAAAAAUCUCUACAUAUAAUGAAAAGACCAACUUAACAGGAGAAAACAAAGGUAAUCAGGAGAGUAGAGGUGGAAACGUAACAAUAAUCCAAACUGUUAUGAAUAUAACUGAUUUUACAAAACAUUUAUGUAUUGCUAUAAUUCUUGAUAAAGUUGCACAAUUUCCAUUAAAAUUCAGGACAAUGAACACGUAGUCCUAGAGAAGAUUGACUUUGAUUCAACCAGAAUAUGAGGGCAAACACCUCUAUGUGCAGUACGAAAGGGACAGAAGGAAUCCCAAAAAAGCUUUAUAAAAUGGUCAUAUUUGAGGUAAAAGAAAAGAGCAGCUUUAAGUAAGAUUAAAAGUAAUUAUUUUAAAAUUAUUAAUAACUUGGAAUGUAUUUUCUAAGAACAAAAUAAGAUCUGACCGCUCAUAUUUUUUUCCAUCUAUACCAGCAACAACUUUGUUGAACACUUUCUUCCAGGCUUCACUUAGGUUUGACCAGUAUGUUCUGAAGAAAUAGAGCAUGUGUUUUUUAAGGCAUGCUAUCAAAAUUAACUAAUGCCAUAUACCGGAAAAUUCAAAUAAGAGUAUUUUAUUUCUGUACCAGUAACAUUUGUAUCUAAGACUGGCUCAUUUGAGAAAAAAAACUUUCGUUCAGAAAAAUAAGAGAAAUGAGCAGACUGGUGAAAUUUAAGCAUUGAAUUUCUGAAUUGGUAAUGUCUUCUGGAAAGGAACAUGUAGAGACUAAAGACUCAUCUUCGCUGAACCAGCUGGCUCAAAUCUGAUCUGAUCCCAUUGCAAAACAACAUCUGAUCUGAAGAGAGACUGGAUUUGCACUUGACUCAUAACUUUAUCUGCUAUACCCUAUGUGUAUUAUUAAGUCUAGCCUCAGGAGCAUUCAAAUUUCUAACUUACAGACCUGGAAAGGGCUGCAGCAUUAUUUAUCUUGUUUUUGAGGUAGUUACAGAUUUGGAGUAGAGUGAAAACUCAGGCAAUUUAGUCAAAACAAAUAUGCUAUACAAUAUUUAACCUAUGUAUGUUGCACAACAAAUUGAUUCACUAAAUGAUGGGUAUGAAAGAAUGUGUUUUGCUUCCUUGGUACUGUAAUUCUUAUUCUGUCAUCUUGGAGCAGUGACAACUGCAACCGCAGUGACCCUUUCAUCUGGGCAACUAGAGAGGUGAAGUGUCCAGCAAGGGACUGCCAGACUCGGCUACCAGAGUCAGAAAGGACUGCUGCUUUGUGAGUUUUAUUUAUCACAUCUGGACAGAGACUGAAGUCCUAUGAUGAAUCGUCCUUCACUUUACAAUGCUUUCUGGUACAAUUUCAUAAAAUUUGGGUGCCUCCCCCGCCCCCAAAGUGUUUUGCAGUAUACGCUUUAAGAAAAAUAAAAAGGUUUUACCAGAAUAGCUUGAAUGGGUACAGGUGGUGUCCCUGCAAAGAAAAGGCUGAACUUUUAAAAAUUAUUUUUAGUACGAAAAAUGCAUUCGCAGAAUUCCUGGCAACUGAAAAGGCUAAACAAAAAAAAAAUGCACUCUAUCCAAGGUUUUCUGCAGGCACAGAACACAAUUACUUGUUCAAACUCAAGCUAAGCUUGAUUAUUUGCAAGACAGGGAGAGUUACUGAGAGAGGCCAGGAUAAAAUACCAGGGUGCUCUAGGAGAGUGUCACAGGCCCAGGCAGAAGACCUCAUUCAGUAGUUGAGAAAGGUCUGAGUUAGUAUCCAUGCUAGCAGAAAGAUGUGGUGGAGAUCAAUCCACUUGUACAACUUAAAGAACAUUACAACAGCAUUCAUAUGUCCUCUGGAGAUAAUUUCAGCAGAGACACUGAUACCAAUCUUGUUUCUUCUGCACAUAGUUGUAUUACACCGUAAAGCACUCCGACAUAAUUUUAAAUGAUACUUCUUUCCUCUUUCAUGCAAUACAGUACCUUACUUUUCUUCCAGCUUUCUACAUCCCUGCUCUGACCUAGUCUCUCCCGGAAUCAACAGCUUUAGUCCAACCCAUGUUCUUCUGCACUUCUGGCAGAAUUUAACAGCUCUUAAAUCCUACAGGCCUAAUCCUACUUACUUACCAUCCUGCUGGAGGGCUGCCGUGUAACCGGUGUCAAGAGGUAUGAUGUGCUGGACCUCUUACACUGUUCUUCCUAUACUCACCUCCUUCCUUCUUCUUCCUCAGCUGUCCUGCUCUUUUUGCAACACAGCAGUUGGCACAUAUGUUGAAGAUUGCUAAAUUACGUAGAAUAUCUUACAUUACACCCCACUUUAAGCCUCUUGGUACGCCUACGUACAUCUCUGCUGAUUACACUACUGUUCCUUAAACACACUAUAGUGUUUAUUGAGGUAUAUAGUGUUUGGGAAGUUGACUACUACAGAUUUAAAAUUAAACUGCUAGGAAAAAAAAUAAAUUAAAUGCUGGAUUAUUGCAUUCUGACAUGAUAUGAAGGCUAUCACACCAGUUGCUUUUGUUGCAUAUUCUCAGCAACAAUCAAGAUAAGGUACGACAAGGCGGAACUGUAAUAUUUAAUGCUGUCACAACUGCAGCUAAAGAUGGAUCAUGAAGUCAUUCAUUAUGAAGUCCCACAGAGUAUCAGCAAAUGACAGGAAAAAAGGGUACAAUGUUCAGCAGCUGCUAAAAUUUGUUUUAAGCAUUUUAUGACCUUUUUCAAUAUGGAAGUGGUGAACAGUGAGAUUAAGAUGGAUUAAUCAGUAACAAUAACUUGCCUGCAUAAACAAGAGCCUGGAGAUGUUGUCAUCUGUUUUAGGAAACAAAAUUCAGAGAAUUCACAUGAUCGUCUCAUAAAAUAUUUAGUGAGAUACAGAAAUCACUAAAUACCAUAUAAUAAUAGUAGUUUUGGUCUCUUCUUAUGCUUCAUAGUUCUAUUAGCAGGAAAACCAGCUACUUCUGGGCUCUUUCAAGUGAAAAUUCCCUACCCAUUCUUGAAGUAUAGCAAAAUGACAUGUUUCUUGUCAUGAAUUCAAACCAGAAAAUUAGCACUCAUAACAGAAUUAUACAUUUUGAUAGCAAACCAGCCGCUACGCACAGCUCAAAAAACAAGGACAGACAGAGAAGCUGAUUACUAAAUCCAGCCCCCCAUAAUUACAAGCAACUAACACCCAGAAGCUAAUAUUACACAUAAAGGAAAAUAAAAAUCCUUCUGGCCCUUACAAGAUCAGUGAAAGCUCUGAAGGGCAGAAUUAAGUAGAGCAAAACCACAUGAUCAACAAACAACAAUAAAGACUCUUUAUAUCCCUCUUCUUAGGACAGAAAAAAAAUAGACUAUCAAAGCUGGUAUCACAAGAUUUUCUAACGUUACAGUUAUUGCAGUCCCAUAACCCAAUGAUGUUUGUACACUUCUCAAAGCAAAACACUUGAGGCCCUCUGUCCUUGUUACCCCAUUUAAAAAGACUCCAGAAAGCCACCCACUGACACUCGAAGUCUAUGCAGGAAAUCCUUACCAGCACUGAUUUGCACAAACUUUUUUUUAAACUAAUAAAAUUUACUCCCAAACUAUUCAUGAAGCGUCAUCGUGUCGGAACACCUUUGGAGGCACUUUCAGCAACACUGUCAAACUCCUGUGCACAACGCAUUGCAAGAAAACCAGCAAAUAAAGCAUGGCUCAAUGGCACCAGGAGGCAAAGCGCCCUCUCCUCCCACAGCCACUUGGAUGAAAUGCACAACUCCACCUGCAACACUGGUGGUUUUAUGCAAGACCGAGGCUCCACGUUCUCUGCAAAAUAAGCUUGUUUUAUCCAUGUGACUUGGAGCUGAACAAGCCUAAGAAGUGUCAAGAUGUAUACCUGAAAAUUUAAGUACAAACGGGCAAAUGGGAUCGACAUCAAGGUAGGAAAACUGAAAUUUAUACUGUCGGUUCAGCAGAUGACCCUUCUCAGCUGCCAGAUCUCUCUUAAUCUAAUAUUUCUCUUUAGACUGUCCAGGGGCUUUUAAAAAUAUCUUGUCUAUCAGUAAUUGCUGCUUUAUAAGCAUGUAAAAUACGCUUUGUUGUGAUUUGAAAAUAAAUCUCUUAAUUAUUGAUCAUCUGAGCUGCAGGUUUGAAUGGCCGGCGUAACUUGAAAAAAUACUGAAGGCAUGCAGGGAGGUAAAAUGAACAUCAAGCAAAAUAAAAUUGACAGAUACGAGACAAAAGCCAUUCGACUGGUUCUAGUAAAAAAGCAGCCAGCAGAAACAGGGUUAAUCCCAGCCUGAUGAGGCUGUUCAGCAGCACUUCGACUGAACACAAAUUAGAACAACCCUGGGAAUCUAUAAAGCUUGUUUUAUUGCCAAGGGCAUGCAGCAAGAUCUGCAUUUUGCUGUUGUAAACUAUCCUUUAUUUAAGGCGUUUUAAAACAGAAGAGACUUUUAUAUUUAUUUUUUUUUACUACCGAAUUGUCAACAGGUGGCAUUUAUUGCAGCUCUGCACACCUAAAGGCAAGUUUUCCCUGCCACGACCGGCCAAGUUGACACAUGCAUUAAGCGUGAAGCUGAGCAAGAACCAGCCUUCUGCUGUCUGGAGGAAAAUCAGCUCUGGGAAAAUGGAAUUAAGGUCCAAGGAUGUUCAUUGAUUAUUAACAGAAAACAAAUGGAGCUAAAAUUCUACUAUCUUCCACCCUGCGUGAAGGAACACUGUUGGUGAAAAGCCUUUUUUAAAGAGAUCCAAGUACCAUUAUGGUAAAAAGAUUCCCUACAUGACCUUAAGGCAUAUAGGAACUGCAAGUUCUCUCAUUGCAAUGUAUAUAGUGGCCUGUAAAAACAAAAUUAAGAAGUUUACUUUUUGUACUGUUAUAUUUCAGUCAAUUUCAAGUAUAAUUAAUUUGGCUUCUAAAGAACUUUAAUUUCCUAUACAAAAGUGUUUCUUUUUCCAUUCCAAUCAAAAUGCUUACAAUGAACUUCUUUGAAAACAUCAAAAAAUCCAAUUUUGGGGGCAUUACUACCAAACUGUGAGUACUGUUAUCUUUUGUGCAGAUACUUUAACCAUGGAAACUUACUCUGCCUCGCUAUCACCUGUUAUAUGCAACAGUACAACUUUUAACGUAAAUGGAUCGCAUUUGUGUAAUGAAAGCCUAUCUUCUAGAUUAGCGGAUAAAUCAGAACACCAACAAUAUGUUAUUGGUCUUUUCUUAUCGUGUCUUUACACAAUAUUCCUUUUUCCUAUUGGUUUUGUAGGAAACAUUCUGAUACUGGUUGUAAACAUAAGCUUUCGUGAAAAAAUGACUAUUCCAGACCUUUACUUCAUAAACCUUGCAGUAGCUGAUCUCAUUUUAGUUGCUGAUUCUCUCAUUGAGGUUUUUAAUCUUGAUGAAAAGUAUUACGAUAUCACUAUUAUAUGUACCUUUAUGUCUUUGUUCCUUCAGAUCAACAUGUAUAGCAGCAUUUUCUUUCUGACAUGGAUGAGUUUUGACAGAUACAUAGCACUGGCAAAAGUAAUGAGGUCCAACAUAUUUCGCACUAUGCAACACGCUAGAUUAAGCUGUGGUCUCAUAUGGAUGGCGUCUAUUUCGGCAGCACUAGUUCCGUUUACAGCUGUGCACUUACAACACACCGGAGAGGUCUAUUUUUGUUUUGCAGAUGUAAAAGAAAUCCAGUGGCUAGAAAUAACCUUGGGGUUUAUUAUCCCCUUUGUGAUCAUCGGUCUUUGUUACUCAUUAAUUGUCCGAGUUCUUAUAAAAGCACACAAGCACAGGAGUCUUCGUCUGCGGCGACAAAAGGCUCUUCGGAUGAUUUUCGUUGUCGUCUUGGUUUUCUUUAUCUGCUGGCUACCUGAAAAUGUCUUCAUUAGUGUUCAACUUCUCCAGAAGAAAAGCGAGCCUGUCUCUUCGAGCAGCCCAUCUUUCAGACACGAUUAUCCCUUAACAGGACAUAUUGUGAACCUAGCAGCUUUUUCUAAUAGCUGUUUGAACCCCUUAAUUUACAGUUUUCUAGGGGAAACCUUCAGAGACAAACUGCGACUGUACAUUGAACAGAAAACCAAAAUGUCAACGCUGCAUCGCUUCUGUCAGGCUGCCUUAACGUCUGUCAUUCCUGACAGUAAUGAGCAAUCGGAGGUUUGAUUUAGCAGCGGUUGUAGAAAACAUACAACUGUGAAGUUGUGCAAAUAGCGAACAAAACGCUUGCUACUAACAGAAAAAAGCGUGUCUGCGUAUGUAUGUAUUAUAUUGCUCUGCUGAGUAUUGAAGGUUUAUAUUCAAAAUGUUUUUAUGACAACUUUAAAGUAGAAGAAUGUUUCAGGCAGAUUUAUAUUUAAUUAUGAACAGGAUUAUUAAAAGCUGAGCACUGAAGGAGCUUUAUUUUAUAUUAAACGUGUAUGACUGAUAAUAUAGAAGAAAAUUUUAUCAAGCUAGGAAGACUCUAGAUUUAACUUGAUUAUCAGAGAUGCUAUUUUGCUGGUGUAUAUAAGGUACUUCCACUUAAAUAAUGGAGCUGCCAUAACAGUGAGGAAAAAAAUCAUUGCAAUGUAUUGAUAUGGAGAUGCAGAAAACAAUUAUUUUUCAUCCAAGUAUGUUAAGUUAAAUGACUUUGCUUUCCAGAACUAUAUAGUAUUAUCGUCAUUGUAUCCCAGCACGUCUUCCACUAUUAACUUUUUUUAAUCUUAAUAUAAUCUAGAAUGGUGAUGAGUUUUCGUCUCAUAAAUCAUUAGAUUUACUGUUUACACCAGUACUUGAUCAAACCUGAAAUCAUCUGUAACUAGACUGUUCAUCUCAAGGAACUUAAUAGAAGCAAAACAUAAUGCUUCAUUCUUUUAAGGAUUGCCCAAGACAGUCUUUCCCAGGACAGAUAUUACUGGGCUUUUUGUCAAAAACGCAAGUGCACAUGAUUGCUCAUUCACAUUCAGAUUUAAAUCAAAGUUGCGUGAGAUCUGUUUACACUUUGCAGGCCUAUUUUAAUGGUCAGAACAGAACGCAGUGGCUUUAAAAAAAGGUACUUUCUAAAAAAGACCUAGGGAUUGCUUAUGAAAGUGACAAAACCUUUUUUUUUAAAAAAAAAAAAAAAAAAAAAAGAACCUUCUGUAAAGGGGAAUGUGAUUAGCUGUCAUCAGACCUGCACUCUGUACUCUGUCCAUCCCACCUCCAGAAACCACUGGUCUUUCAGGAUUUUAAGGUGCAUGUUGGUUGUUUUGUUCAUUUGAAGACAAAUUAUACUAAGAAAACAAAUGUUAGCACCACGCUUGAAAACAACAGCUUCUAACUUCUGUUAGGAAAUAAUUGGGUUUUAAAUCUGGAUGAGGUUUAGCACAGGUUACUACUGAACUUGUUCAGAGGAGGCCAUAAAGUUCCUAGAGAUUGGUGCACAAGACCAUUAAAAUGUCACUCGCUGCAUCUCGGAAAUACACAAACUAAUUCACGGAGUAAAGCACCAGAACUCUGCAGAAUAAGGUAUUCUGCCCUGUUUUCAAUAUAUUGGUUCAUAUAUUAACCGAGUAGUACAAAAAAAGGAAUUUUAGAGGAUUUUUAAAAUACAGACACUUAAAGCAACUAGUAGAGCUCUAAGCAGUAAAGAAAGCGGUAAGAACAACGAUUGCCCUCAGUUCUCAUGAAAUACUUAAGUUUCUUAGUGGAAGUUUAGCCACAAAAGACUUGACCUAUAAUCAAGAGGCCCCACCAUGAUGGCUGAAUUUGAAAUAGAUAGCUGGAUAUUCCUGAAACAGAAACAGGAACUGCAGGGUGGGGUUUGCUGCAACUGCUGAUUAUUUCCAAGUGACUGUUAACUGUGACCUAAGGAAAAGUUUUGUUUAGUCCCAUCUUUCCUGCAGAACACUAAAUAUAAUUUCUCUCCAGAAAGAUGCAAGCACUGCCAUGCCUUCUCUGCAUAGACCAAACUGCAAAAUAAGACGUAGCAACAAAUCUCACACUAUCCUGUGGCAUUACACGUAGCCCUUUUUCCUCAUUAUUUUCUUGUCUGGAAUUAGCCACAAUUCCCCAUGUCCUAUUGACUGCCGGUGUGCAUCAGUUACACCUUGGAAAGAUGGCUAUUUCAGACAACACAGAACUAAAGGAACACGUAAUUCUUUCAGCAGUGCAAUUCCGUGGAGUAAGACGCACCAUGUGAGCAUGCAGAUAUAUUAGGUUUGUGUGAUCUCGAUACCUAUCAUGAAUAAAGCAACUUAUUUGGGGUUACAGCAAUACAAUUUACCAAUUGUAGUUGUUGCUCAUUUGGGUUUUAUGGGAGUAAAUGUUCCCCUCCUCCCCCCUUCCGAUACAGGAAUAUUUUUUCAUCAAGCUGGAAGCCCUUUUAACACCACUGCAGGUAACAAGUCAUGAAGUGUCUUUGCUCAGAAACUUUUCAUAAACAGAUAGUAAUAAUAAAUGCCUGCUUGCACA